UUUUCCAUACGUGAUAUAAUCCAGAAAGGUGGAGAGUGGAGGCAGAGCAUUGGAGCGCAGAUAGUUGAACUCAGUCACCAGUAGUGACCAGGAAGGACGUGAUCAGAAAUAAGAUCAGAAGGUCAGUUAAGGUGGAGCAGUUUGGUUAUAAAGGAUGUUGGACCACGAAGUAACCAGGCAAGAGGGAAAAAAAAAGCAAGACCUCAGAGGAGAUAAGACCUCACAGGAGGGUAUCACACUGGGCCAGAUUGUGGUAGUCCGACGCUGUGAGAAUCCCAGCCUUCAUCCCUCGAACCAGACCCUCCAGGAAAUACGCACCCUUCUGACGGUCCCUUGAGACGAAAACCGGCGGCAGACGAGGAGUGGUGUCCCCAACUUAUCAUUACACAGGUUCUAUUUCGGCACGAUUUGUUGGUCCUCCAGCAGUGGCAAAUGGUGUUGAAGAGCCGACAGCGGCAAGAGGCGCACGGGUCACAGCAGGGAACGCGAGCCGAGCAGUUCUCCGUCAUGCGACCGCAACGCCGCAGAGGAGCACUGAGGAACAAUGCUGUGGAGAUUCCGUAAUUUGGGGAAUUUGCGGAGGGUCUCGCCCUGGGUGGACCACCUUCUUGAUCAUGAUCUCUCCCUGUCUGGUGAGUAUCAUGUAUGUUCAUGUAAAGAACACCACACAGACAUCACACAGGCCUUUACAAUAUUAUUUCAAACAUAACUUGGAAUAGAACUUUGUAGCUUAU